CGGUGCAAUAGCUGAAAUACCAUUCGAGCACCGACAGUCUGUCGGUGCAAUAGAUUUUUCGUUGUCGGAGCGUGUGCUCAAUGCAGAACAAGUUAAACGAGUAUCUUUUCGCCGUUUAUUUCGUCGAUCGCAACAUAUUUCAUGUCGAACAUUUGUCUUAAGUGAUCGUAUGAUCGUACACUUUGUAUUGUCUUUCUGAAAGAACGUUAACGAACGAAAGAAAAGAGUUUUGAAGUGUCGAGUCAUGUCAGCGCGUGGGCGCGAGUCGCCAUUUUGUUACGUCUUCCCUCCUUUUUCGUCGGACGCGCGUCCCGCCAUUUUACUUCGUCACCAUUUCUUGUUCUGGAAGCGAUCGAUCGCAACAUGACUGCUGUACCAUCUCGUUUUUCAGUUCUUGGAACGGAAUCCUCCACCGACGAUGAAGAGGAAAGAGCAGCUAUUACAGCUUCAAAAGAGAAAAAAGGGGCAGCUGCCCAAAAAUUGAAAUUGCCAGUGGCUAAGCUAUCCAAAAAAAAGGGUCCUAAGGUCAGGGAAGAGCAAGGUCCUAAGGAACUGAUUCAUGAUCCCCAAGCGCAAGAGGGUAUUGUUGGAAAAGAUGAGACUCAAUUGAACGAGAAAAAUCUUGAAAUAGAAAACCUGAAAUUGCAGAUUGACAAAUUACAGGGAGAUUUACGUAAUUCAAAUGCCGAAGUUUUUUAUUAUCGUGGAGCCUAUAUACGCGAACGUAAGAUUUUUUUAAUUUUUUUCCCCCUAAUUAAAUCUAGUUUUAUAUAUAGUCAAGGAAAAAGCAAACAUGCUUGCAGGUAUUGACAAAAAAGCCAAGAUUCAAAAUAAAUUGACUGCUGAAACCGUUAAAAAAAGGCAUGAUACUGAAUAGACCGUGGGCCACGGAUCUGGGAAGCUCGUCCUAUCAAUUUCCUUUCUUGCAUUUAUCAACUCGUCAUUUAUUUUGAAUAAUAAUAAAUAAAAUUCUUUGAAACCAUCGACAAUAAUCAGAUUUUUUUCAGCUGAACUGGCAAUUUAUAUGUGUUGUUUAUAUGUGUUCCUUACUACGGCAAGCGACUCGGUAACCUCUGAGAUUCUGGCAGUGCUGGCUAAGCACCAGAUUCAGGUGGAUCAGCCUAUGCCAAAAAUUGGCCUCGACGAGCCUGGCAGAGACACCGACACCAACGGCCUCGGUUGAAAUAAAAAAGCAGUAAUUCACACAAUUUAUAUAGUAUCUUAAGGUCGAACAACGCCGUCUGCAAGACGAGUUAAACCAGAAAAAUAUUGAGAUUGAAAGCCUCCAGUCAGAAAUUGACAAACUACGAAGAGUGUUAUGAUUCAAAAACUCAAAUCUCUAAAUUUCGCGGACUCUAUAUACGCGAAUUGACAGAAAAAGCCAAAUUUCUUGGCGAUAUGGGUAAAGCAGACCAAAAAAAGACAAAUUGACCGCCAAACUGACUGAGACUCACAAGAAGAGGCACGAUACCGAAUAAGAAAACGACCGUGGGCCACGGAUCAAACAAGAAUAUGCUUGUCAUAUUACAUUUAUAAACUCUUUCAUAUUUUUGAUA
rnacentral:misc_RNA from 1 species